rnacentral:ncRNA from 1 species
AUAGUGUUCCAAGCAGCAGGUGCGUCAUAUUGCGUCGGCAAUAUGCGCUUAAAAGGGAAGAUUGGUGAAAUUCCAACACGGUCGCGCCACUGUGAUGGGGAGCUUUUGGCCAUCAUCCACUGUUUCAAUUUUUGAAAUGGGAAGGAGGAUCGAAAGCGAUGAUCCUAAGUCAGGAGACCUGCCUGUUGUAUGCACUGCCA